UACAGGGGGUGCAAACGUUGCUCGGAAUUACUGGGCGUAAAGGGCGCGUAGGCGGCCUUCUAAGUCGAACGUGAAAUCCCCGGGCUCAACCCGGGAACUGCGUCCGAUACUGGAAGGCUUGAAUCCGGGAGAGGGAUGUGGAAUUCCAGGUGUAGCGGUGAAAUGCGUAGAUAUCUGGAGGAACACCGGUGGCGAAGGCGACAUCCUGGACCGGUAUUGACGCUGAGGCGCGAAAGCCAGGGGAGCAAACGGG
rnacentral:rRNA from 1 species